CAGUCGCCGCGGUAAUACGUAGGGUGCGAGCGUUAAUCGGAAUUACUGGGCGUAAAGCGUGCGCAGGCGGUUAUAUAAGACAGAUGUGAAAUCCCCGGGCUCAACCUGGGACCUGCAUUUGUGACUGUAUAGCUAGAGUACGGUAGAGGGGGAUGGAAUUCCGCGUGUAGCAGUGAAAUGCGUAGAUAUGCGGAGGAACACCGAUGGCGAAGGCAAUCCCCUGGACCUGUACUGACGCUCAUGCACGAAAGCGUGGGGAGCAAACAGGAUUAGAUACCCGAGUAGUCCCUGUCUCUUAUAC
rnacentral:rRNA from 1 species